AAAAGAGAGAAAAGAAAAAGAGAGAAAAAAAAACAGAAAGAAAAAAAGGAAAAUAUGAUUCAAUAUGAAAGGGAGAUUCUUCUCCUCGACCAAUCGAGAGGGGGGGAAAUCUCUUUUUCUUUUUUCUCUUUUUCUUUUUUC
rnacentral:ribozyme from 13 species